GCUGAAAUGGCGCAGUUGGGAGCGCGUUAGACUGAUGAUCUGAAGAUCCCAGGUUCGAUCCUGGGUUUUGGCA